AUUGAACGCUGGCGGCAUGCCUUACACAUGCAAGUCGAACGGCAGCACGGGAGCAAUCCUGGUGGCGAGUGGCGAACGGGUGAGUAAAGUAUCGGAACGUGCCCAGUCGUGGGGGAUAACGUAGCGAAAGUUACGCUAAUACCGCAUACGAUCUAUGGAUGAAAGCGGGGGAACGCAAGACCUCGCGCGAUUGGAGCGGCCGAUAUCAGAGUAGGUAGUUGGUGGGGUAAAGGCUCACCAAGCCGACGAUCUGUAGCUGGUCUAAGAGGACGACCAGCCACACUGGGACUGAGACACGGCCCAGACUCCUACGGGAGGCAGCAGUGGGGAAUUUUGGACAAUGGGCGCAAGCCUGAUCCAGCCAUGCCGCGUGCAGGAUGAAGGCCUUCGGGUUGUAAACUGCUUUUGUACGGAACGAAAAGGUUUGACUUAAUACGUUGGACUCAUGACGGUACCGUAAGAAUAAGCACCGGCUAACUACGUGCCAGCCGCCGCAGUAA
rnacentral:rRNA from 1 species